rnacentral:tRNA from 1 species
UGCGGAUGGGCCAGUGCCCAGCUGAGCCUCAUAAGCUCGGAUCGCCGGGUGCGACCCCUGGAUCCGCUAC